CAAAAGGGGAAAAAGGAAGGGGACCGAGGAAGGAAGGAGAAGGGGGGAGAAGAGAGAGGCGGCGCGGUGGGUGCCACUGCCACCGUCGCCGCCGUUGCUAGCAGAGGGGAGGGGAGAUCUGAGCGAGGAGAGAGAUCGACCCACGCCUCGCCGCCGCGCCAACGUCCCAGUGCCGCCAUCGCGUCAUUGUCGAACUGGAGGGAAGAGCUGCUGCCGCCACGCCUCGCCGUCGAGCUGCAUCAUGGCGCCGUCCUGUUCAUGGAGCCACAAGCUUGCAUCACUGCCGAUCCGUCUAGUUGCCAACGCCGUUGCGGGGGAAGACCAUAGCCGAGGCAAGGAGCAGCGCCGAGAGGAAGAGAAGGAGCUGCGCCACAUCGUCGUCCAGCCACUGUCAGACCCGCCAUCACCGGCGUUUCGCUGCCGUCACUGCAGAGGCCAAACGCCAUCGAACUUUCUGCCACCAACUUGGGGUCCGUCGUUGUCAAUACCUUUAGGAGAGAGAGACAGGGCCGAUCCUAUGCGUCCGAGAGAAAAGGGUGGAUGCUGUUCGCACUGUCGUACCAUCACCACGGCCAGGAUCCAUCGCCACCGCCGUGAGCCGUCCCUG